rnacentral:rRNA from 1 species
CUGGGGUAACACUGACGUUCAUGCUCGAAAGCGUGGGUAGCAAACAGGAUUAGAUACCCUGGUAGUCCACGCCCUAAACGAUGUCAAUUAGCUGUUGGGCAACUUGAUUGCUUAGUAGCGUAGCUAACGCGUGAAAUUGACCGCCUGGGGAGUACGGUCGCAAGAUUAAAACUCAAAGGAAUUGACGGGGACCCGCACAAGCGGUGGAUGAUGUGGAUUAAUUCGAUGCAACGCGAAGAACCUUACCUGGUCUUGACAUGUACGGAAUCUUUCAGAGACGGAAGAGUGCCUUCGGGAACCGUAACACAGGUGCUGCAUGGCUGUCGUCAGCUCGUGUCGUGAGAUGUUGGGUUAAGUCCCGCAACGAGCGCAACCCUUGUCAUUAGUUGCCAUCAUUAAGUUGGGCACUCUAAUGAGACUGCCGGUGACAAACCGGAGGAAGGUGGGGAUGACGUCAAGUCCUCAUGGCCCUUAUGGCCAGGGCUUCACACGUCAUACAAUGGUCGGUACAAAGGGUAGCCAAGCCGCGAGGUGGAGCCAAUCCCAGAAAACCGAUCGUAGUCCGGAUUGCACUCUGCAACUCGAGUGCAUGAAGUCGGAAUCGCUAGUAAUCGCAGGUCAGCAUACUGCGGUGAAUACGUUCCCGGGUCUUGUACACACCGCCCGUCACACCAUGGGAGUGGGGGAUACCAGAAGUAGAUAGG